GAUGAACGCUGGCGGCGUGCCUAAUACAUGCAAGUCGAGCGAAUGGAUUAAGAGCUUGCUCUUAUGAAGUUAGCGGCGGACGGGUGAGUAACACGUGGGUAACCUGCCCAUAAGACUGGGAUAACUCCGGGAAACCGGGGCUAAUACCGGAUAACAUUUUGAACCGCAUGGUUCGAAAUUGAAAGGCGGCUUCGGCUGUCACUUAGUGAUGGACCCGCGUCGCAUUAGCUAGUUGGUGAGGUAACGGCUCACAAAGGCAACGAUGCGUAGCCGACCUGAGAGGGUGAUCGGCCACACUGGGACUGAGACACGGCCCAGACUCCUACGGGAGGCAGCAGUAGGGAAUCUUCCGCAAUGGACGAAAGUCUGACGGAGCAACGCCGCGUGAGUGAUGAAGGCUUUCGGGUCGUAAAACUCUGUUGUUAGGGAAGAACAAGUGCUAGUUGAAUAAGCUGGCACCUUGACGGUACCUAACCAGAAAGCCACGGCUAACUACGUGCCAGCAGCCGCGGUAA
rnacentral:rRNA from 1 species